UUGUUGAUGGGGACAGAAUAAUCACUCAACACCAGAUGCAAUGCAACAAAGUAAUUAAUGCUCAGAACUCAGAGCAGGUAUCUGCUGAAUCCUCCAAGGGGAACAGAAUAAGGGGAAGAUCCCUGGAGAUCAGAUUCUCAGAUCCAGUAUCCCGUGUGCUGACCUGCCAUGACAAACACUGGCAGGGAGCCUGCCAUAGAGGAAAAG
rnacentral:lncRNA from 10 species